rnacentral:rRNA from 1 species
GAUGAACGCUGGCGGCGUGCCUAAUACAUGCAAGUCGAGCGAAUGGAUUAAGAGCUUGCUCUUAUGAAGUUAGCGGCGGACGGGUGAGUAACACGUGGGUAACCUGCCCAUAAGACAGGGAUAACUCCGGGAAACCGGGGCUAAUACCGGAUAAUAUUUUGAACUGCAUGGUUCAAAAUUGAAAGGCGGCUUCGGCUGUCACUUAUGGAUGGACCCGCGUCGCAUUAGCUAGUUGGGGAGGUAACGGCUCACCAAGGCAACGAUGCGUAGCCGACCUGCGAGGGUGAUCGGCCACACUGAGACUGGAACACGGCCCAGACUACUACGGGAGGCAGCAGUAGGGAAUCUUCCGCAAUGGACGAAAGUCUGACGGAGCAACGCCGCGUGAGUGAUGAAGGCUUUCGGGUCGUAAAACUCUGUUGUUAGGGAAGAACAAGUGCUAGUUGAAUAAGCUGGCACCUUGACGGUACCUAACCAGAAAGCCACGGCUAACUACGUGCCAGCAGCCGCUGUAA